rnacentral:rRNA from 1 species
AUACGUAGGAGGCGAGCGUUGUCCGGAAUGAUUGGGCGUAAAGGGCGCGUAGGCGGCCCGGUAAGUCUGGAGUGAAAGUCCUGCUUUUAAGGUGGGAAUUGCUUUGGAUACUGUCGGGCUUGAGUGCAGGAGAGGUAAGUGGAAUUCCCAGUGUAGCGGUGAAAUGCGUAGAGAUUGGGAGGAACACCAGUGGCGAAGGCGACUUACUGGACUGUAACUGACGCUGAGGCGCGAAAGUGUGGGGAGCAAACAGGAUUAGAUACCCUGGUAGUCCACACUGUAAACGAUGAAUGCUAGGUGUAGGGGGUAUCGACCCCUUCUGUGCCGCAGUUAACACAAUAAGCAUUCCGCCUGGGGAGUACGGCCGCAAGGUUGAAACUCAAAUGAAUUGACGGGG